UACGUAGGGGGCAAGCGUUGUCCGGAUUUAUUGGGCGUAAAGAGCGUGUAGGCGGCCAGGUAGGUCCGUUGUGAAAACUAGAGGCUCAACCUCUAGACGUCGAUGGAAACCAUCUGGCUAGAGUCCGGAAGAGGAGAGUGGAAUUCCCGGUGUAGCGGUGAAAUGCGCAGAUAUCGGGAAGAACACCCGUGGCGAAGGCGGCUCUCUGGGACGGUACUGACGCUGAGACGCGAAAGCGUGGGGAGCGAACAGG
rnacentral:rRNA from 1 species